rnacentral:rRNA from 1 species
GACGAACGCUGGCGGCGUGCUUAACACAUGCAAGUCGAACGGAAAGGCCCUGCUUUUGGGGGGUGCUCGAGUGGCGAACGGGUGAGUAACACGUGGGUAACCUGCCCUUGACUUUGGGAUAACUUCAGGAAACUGGGGCUAAUACGGGAUAGGGGCUCCUGCUGCAUGGUGGGGGUUGGAAAGUUUCGGCGGUUGGGGAUGGACUCGCGGCUUAUCAGCUUGUUGGUGGGGUAGUGGCUUACCAAGGCUUUGACGGGUAGCCGGCCUGAGAGGGUGACCGGCCACACUGGGACUGAGAUACGGCCCAGACCCCUACGGGAGGCAGCAGUGGGGAAUAUUGCACAAUGGGCGGAAGCCUGAUGCAGCAACGCCGCGUGCGGUAUGACGGCCUUCGGUUUGUAAACCGCUUUCGCCUGUGACGAAGCGUGAGUGACGGUAAUGGGUAAAGAAGCACCGGCUAACUACGUG